UUUAUGUUAAAUAGUUUUACUGAGACCGGGCUUGUAUCCCCCAGAUCCCGGAGUGCUUGUAAGCAAUAAACAGACAUCAUUGAAUCGACAUCGGAGCUGUCUGGGUGUCUUCGUUGGAGUCAACUGAUGUUACUAACUGUCAGCCGUUAGUCCACCAUCAUCAUCAUCACAACACAACGCAGAGACUGUAGGCUGUCACUAUUAUCAGCGAUAUAAAGGAAACUUAACGGGGGUAUUAUAAACUGUGAGGCUAAUAUAGUCCCCCGUUAGACUCAGCACUGUCAUUAAGGUCAGGAGUAUUUUUAAUCAUAAAUCUGCCUGACAGGUCAUUAAGAUAGUUUUAAGAUAUGUUAUGCAAAACUCCAACCUGUGUGGAUGUACGAUGUACCUCAAAGGAGAUCAGAAGCAGCAUGCUGAACGGCUUCCCGUGCCUGGUGAUCUCCUGAGCUGCCACAAAACUAACCGAAGUGCAUGAAUUUGUAGACUUCAUCCACCUCCUCAAAGUGUUUUUGCUCUGGUCAGCAAAGACAGACUGGACCUCAGUAGUUGUGCUGAGUAGCAGAGACCUUGUGGCACUGGACUGCUGAGAGAGUCCAGGAGUAUCAGGAGCCAAGGGGACCAUGCCUCCUUUUGGAGACUCCUCAGUACCCCAUGAAGAUGAAAAGGCUCUAGACUUCAAGGUGGCUCCUCAGCUGCUCCACCUAAGUGUCAUGAGGGAAUACAGGAUCCGCUGCUGGCUAGCUGGCUCAAAGCUAGCAGACUGGGAGACAGCUGCUCCAGGGAGGAACUGGGAGACCCCAGGGAAACAUGGGAGACUGGAAUGAUGGACUUGGGAGGGCAGGAUUUAAAUUGUAUUUCCACCUGAAGGAAGUCACUUCUUGGGAAAAUUCAGGGUCCUUCUUCCAGUAAACAGAAGGUGAUUUAAGGAAGUUUGGCUAUUCAUUUAAAAAGACAUCCUGUGUAACUCCAGAAUCAUGCUAGGAAAAAGGCAAGCAGCGCUGGUGAAUGUCUGCUGGGUCCAUGACUGCUUGGAUCUUUCUGUCAGGGGGAGUAGCAGUAGAUGGACCCAAAUGCAGGACAAAUCAGCCAGAACGAACUGAACAAUGUCUCUUUAAUAAAGAUCCAGAUGUGCAGGCACAGAAAAAUGGAACAAGACAAAAACAGGCAGAGCAAAACUGAACUGAAACACAGGACUAAAACACUAACUGAACUAAAGAGGAGAUGAGGUGCAGGUGGGGAGGUGGGUGGAGAAACUCAAGUGAGGGGAAUGAGGGGAUAAAACAGGAAAUGGGAAAGAAGCUGAUAGGCUGGGGAAGAUACUGGGAAAAGGGCAGGGCUAACGAAGAUGGAGCAGGGCAGGUGAAGAGGGAAGAGUGGAGGGAAAAGCAUGCUGGGAACACAAGAGGAAAAACACAGGGCAAACUGAAAACUAAAAACACAGCAUACACAUGAAUAUAACUUAAAUACACAAGUCACACUGAGCAGAAACAGCACAAACACCUCAACAUAACAUUGACAACCUUAGCAUCCUUAAAGAACUCAAACAUACAUUGCUGUUGACAUAAACAUCAGACAACAAGUUUGUCAAGAGGAGUGGCCUGCAUGUAACAAUAAAAUUGGACUAAAAGACAACUGUUGCUCUGAGUUUCAGUUCACUUUCACACAUAAUAUCUAUGAGGGUCAGUGUGUAGCAAGCAACAGUCUUCAGUCACAUUUCCUGAAGAUAAGUGUGAAAGCAAACUUCAGUGUCAACCUGCAGGGCCUACUGCCACUCAGUCCAGUUCAACAAACUGGGAAAAAGUCAGAGGGCACCUGGUGGACUGGUGGAGGGACGUAGAGCAAGACUGGGACAGAACCAAUGAUACAGGGAAAGGUCAAUGAGAAAGCUUCCUCAGUGACUGUCACCCUUUACUCUGAAGUCAGGAUCUUGAAAACUCUGCAUGAUGAGUCACACAGAAGGUAAAAA